rnacentral:lncRNA from 1 species
UAAAAAUAUCAAUCACAAUUCAAAACAAAAUUCAAAUAUUUCAAAUACAUUAGAAAUGAGAGUAAUAACUUAUUUGUAUUUUAAACUUUUUUAUAAAUAUAUUAUUUUUUUGGAAUAUUUUUAAAAAUACAAAUGAUAUUCGGGGCGGAUUCGGAGCGGAUCAUGGCGGGGCGAAUUCGGGGCGGAUUUGGGACGGGUCAAAAUUUUUUCCGUUUCCUGCCCCGAAUCCGUCUCAGAUCGUAAAACUUAUCCCGUUUCCUGCCCCGAAUCCGUUUAUUUUCUCCCAUUUACUGCUCCCGUCGGGGCGGAUCGGGGCAGGAGCUCCACCAACCCGGAUCCGUUUGCAUCCCUAAUAGAGAGAGAGAGAGAGAGAGAGAAUUGAGCUCCUAUGCUUUUAAAAGUAUCAAGUUAUUGGUGCUUGUAAGUUUUCGGUUCUUGGAUUAAAGGAUGUGCGGUUAGGAUGAUGUGGACUCUCUAGGAUUGAGUGGUGGUUAGUUUAAUAGUAUAAUCUAACGGGUAAAAUGAUCAAAAGCGGAGAUCUAACGGUAAAAAAUUUACAAAUACCAAGUGCUUGGUACUUUUAAAAGUUUUACUUGUUACAAAAGAAGUGUAUUAUUGAAGGA